CGCCUACGGGGGGCAGCAGUGAGGAAUAUUGGUCAAUGGGCGUAAGCCUGAACCAGCCAAGUCGCGUGAGGGAUGAAGGUUCUAUGGAUCGUAAACCUCUUUUAUAAGGGAAUAAAGUGUGGGACGUGUCCUGUUUUGUAUGUACCUUAUGAAUAAGGAUCGGCUAACUCCGUGCCAGCAGCCGCGGUAAUACGGAGGAUGCGAGCGUUAUCCGGAUUUAUUGGGUUUAAAGGGUGCGUAGGCGGAAUGCCAAGUCAGCGGUAAAAUCGCGGGGCUCAACCUCGCUCCGCCGUUGAAACUGGCGU
rnacentral:rRNA from 1 species